rnacentral:rRNA from 1 species
UACGUAGGGGGCAAGCGUUAUCCGGAUUCACUGGGUGUAAAGGGAGCGUAGACGGCGACGCAAGUCUGGAGUGAAAGCCCGGGGCCCAACCCCGGGACUGCUCUGGAAACUGCGGCGCUGGAGUACGGGAGGGGCAGGCGGAAUUCCUGGUGUAGCGGUGAAAUGCGUAGAUAUCGGGAGGAACACCGGUGGCGAAGGCGGCCUGCUGGACUGCAACUGACGUUGAGGCCCGAAAGCGUGGGGAGCAAACAGG